UCAUUUUCCUGCGUGAUGCAUUCUUUUACACACUUCAUAAGUUCAGGAUGUGGUACAGAGUAAAACAAAUCGACUACAUCAAUGCUAAAACCACUGCAAAUAGGCAUUUUUUUGUUUGCCAAGAAUUCGGCAACCUGGUUAGAUCCUUUUACGAGAAAAGGGUCCUGAAAAUUCAAGGCAGACAAGUGGUACUGCAGGAACGUUGAAACUUCAUGUUGCCAAUUAUUUGCAUUUAUUUAUUUCUUAG
rnacentral:lncRNA from 1 species